rnacentral:rRNA from 1 species
GACGACGCUGGCGGCGUGCCUAAUACAUGCAAGUAGGACGAGUUGCGAACGGGUGAGUAAUGUAUGGGGAUCUGCCCGAUAGAGGGGGAUAACUACUGGAAACGGUGGCUAAUACAGCAUACUAUCGGAUGAACCCAUAUGGGAUUAGCUAGUAGGGGGGGUAAAGGCUCACCUAGGCGACGAUCUCUAGCUGGUCUGAGAGGAGGAUCAGCCACACUGGUACUGAGACACGGCCCAGACUCCUACGGGAGGCAGCAGUGGGGAAUAUUGCACAAUGGGCGCAAGCCUGAUGCAGCCAUGCCGCGUGUGUGAAGAAGGCCUUAGGGUUGUAAAGUACUUUCAGCGGGGAGGCGUUACCCGCAGAAGAAGCACCGGCGAACUCCGUGCCAGCAGCCGCGGUAAUUC